rnacentral:rRNA from 1 species
GUUAGGAAUCUUGCGCAAUGGGCGAAAGCCUGACGCAGCAACGCCGCGUGCGGGAUGACGGCCUUCGGGUUGUAAACCGCUUUCAGUGGGGACGAAAUCAGACGGUACCCACAGAAGAAGCCCCGGCCAACUACGUGCCAGCAGCCGCGGUAACACGUAGGGGGCGAGCGUUGUCCGGAUUUAUUGGGCGUAAAGAGCUCGUAGGCGGUUCGGUAAGUCGGGUGUGAAAACUCAAGGCUCAACCUUGAGACGCCACCCGAUACUGCUGUGACUAGAGUCCGGUAGGGGAGCGUGGAAUUCCUGGUGUAGCGGUGAAAUGCGCAGAUAUCAGGAGGAACACCAGCGGCGAAGGCGGCGCUCUGGGCCGGAACUGACGCUGAGGAGCGAAAGCGUGGGGAGCGAACAGGAUUAGAAACCCCUGUAGUCC